rnacentral:lncRNA from 10 species
UCAUGAGGGCAGUUACCCCAAUGCUGCUGUUCUUCUGAUCGUGAGUUCUCACGAGAUCUGAUGUUUUUAUAAGGGGCUUCCCCACAUCCACCUCGUUCGGCACUUCUUGCUGCCGCCUGUGAUGAAGGACGUGUUCGCUUCCCCUUCCACCGUGAUUAGAGCAGACUGCCAUCAGGUUCCAAUGGCACAGCAUCUCAGCCCCUUUUCUGACAUCCAGUGAGCCAUUGUUUUGCCCUCCCCAGUGAAGUAUGAAUCUCAGCUCUUUGGGAAGUUCUUACUUGGAUGCUGUACUUAAGCCCUAAGGACUUUUGGUCUUCGGGACAGUGAGAGAAUACGUUUUUGUUCUUUAAACCAUCCAAUUUGUUAUGGAAGCCUUGGGGAACUAAUG